rnacentral:rRNA from 1 species
GACGAACGCUGGCGGCGUGCUUAACACAUGCAAGUCGAACGGAAAGGCCUGCUUUCCCUUGUGGAUUGCGGGUACUCGAGUGGCGAACGGGUGAGUAACACGUGAGUGAUCUGCCCCCAACUUGGGUAUAAGCCUGGGAAACUGGGUCUAAUUCCCGAUAGGACUGCAGGGUGGUGCCUGUGGUGGAAAACGAUUUUCUAGUGGUUGGGGAUGAGCUCGCGGCCUAUCAGCUUGUUGGUGGGGUAAUGGCCUACCAAGGCGGCGACGGGCAGCCGGCCUGAGAGGGUGGACGGCCACAUUGGGACUGAGAUACGGCCCAGACUCCUACGGGAGGCAGCAGUGGGGAAUAUUGCACAAUGGGCGGAAGCCUGAUGCAGCGACGCCGCGUGGGGGAUGACGGCCUUCGGGUUGUAAACUCCUUUCGGCCGCGAGGAAGCCACCUGGUUGGAAGGGUGGUGACGGUAGUGGUAGAAGAAGCACCGGCUAACUACGUG